AUGUCCAAGUGUCGGCAGGAGCAGGUAAACUACAGGGGCCGUGUCGACAAGAAGUUGCGGCCUGUGCAGAGGCAGAAGCACCUCUAUCUGGUGCUAGAUGACUGGACGAAGGACUUUUCCAUCCGCAAGAUUGACAUCGACACCUUGGACGGCAGCUCCGACCUAGACUUGGAGCCCCCGAUUCUUCGACUAGUGUCACCUUCACCUACUUAUCCCAUGAACUUUGCUGCCCUGGGCAGCAAAAUCUUCAUGGCGAGCAACAAACACCCUAGCACCAUGGUCUACGACGCAGAGACAGCUGGACUGGCCAUCGGCCCUCCUCUCCCGGCUGGACUGCACGGCGGCAUCCACAUCUUUGUGGCUACUGCCAACAUGCAGUUGUAUGUGUUGAAGUAUAGCAUCAAGGACAUGCGGCAGUCAUUUCAGGUGCUGUCCGCGGUCGGCAUCACGGAUCCCCAUUCUUCAAAUCCAAGCACUGACUGGUGUUGGACAAGCGUGCCCUUUCCAAUGCCAUUCACCAAGGAUGACAUGAUCACCUCCUACGCCAUGCACCCGGAUGGACACAUUAUCUUCAUGUCUGCUAGCAGCAGGCGCGAUCUACGUCACACCUUCUCCUUUGACACCAGGUGGCAAGAGUGGAGGUGUCUUGGGGAAUGGGCAUUGCCUUUCCAAGGACAAGGCUACUUUGACAGUGAGUUGGAUGCAUGGGUUGGCCUUCACAAGGAUGGGUACAUUUGUUCCUGCCAAGCCGCUUCGUGCACCAACACAGUUACCAUGCAGCCGGACUGGAAGACGACCAAGGAGAAACUUUUCCUCAAGCACUCGGGUGCCACCCUCACGUACAUGGGGAACACCAGGUUUUGCCUUGUGAAGAGUGUGGUAUGUGAAGAGUGGAGUGAUGAUGCCUUUGAUGACUGUAAUGGCUUCAUGCUAUGCAUCACCAUUUUUUGUCUCAAGUACAAUCGUGAGGGAGAGCUGCAAACCACCAUCCGCCGCACCACCAAAUCCUAUCAAGUGUCUAAGCAUGUCACGUCAUUUUCUCCCGUGGCGUUCUAG
rnacentral:rRNA from 1 species